UGUUGAUUUGACCAUCCAAGUUUUCAAAAUUAUGGAUUUUAUUAUUUAAAUCUUUCAAUUUAUUUCAUUUGAAUUAUUCGAUAAUAUUUUGAUUUCAAAUUUUGAAUGCGUUGUUUAAAUGGGGUGUUUUGUUAAUAUGCUUUGUACAAUUUCUCACAACUGUAAUUUAUUAAUGUAUACAGUUUGUUUAAAUUUUGAAGUCAGAAUAACGUUGAUUGAUUCAAAUUAUUGAAUGAUUAGAUAAUAAAAUUAAAAUUUUGAAAGAUUGAAUAGUCAAUUCAAAUGUCGGAUAGUUCAGAUAAGUCCCCCAACAAAAAGAAGCUUUACAAAAAUAAGGCAUAUUAUCAGGUUCAUUUUUGGAAGGUAAAAACAUAUAGAACUUACUCAGACGAUAGACCAUUUUGAUUUUGAUAUCCCACCUUUCAAAAUUUUGAUUCUACAUAUUCAAUAUUUCAAUUUAUUUGAUUUGAACCAGUCAACGGCGCUUUGUGUUCAAAAUUUGAAUGCAUCAUUUAUCAUUACAGAUUUAGUUAGUAUAUUCAUAUAAUUUUUUGCAACUAUAAACUUAUUAAAGUAAUAAUUAAUUUUAAUGUUGAAGUCAAAGUACCGUCGACUAACUCACAUCAAAAAAAUUAGAAAGUUACAACAUAAAUUUAAAAUUUUAAAAAAUUAGAUAUUCAAAUUUAAAAUUUUAAUUAUAUAUUUUUAUUUUUUUUGGACACGAAUUUUUUACUUCGAAAUGCUCAUGUGGCUUAUGAUAACAAAUUUGCUACAACAAGAAGCCAUUUACAUAGAAAUAGUAAUAGGUUUCUAUGAAAGGAAAUGUAAUAAUUAAGGUGAAAGUACUAAGGAAUGGCACUGACUAAGUACCACAUGAAAUUUUUUUUUUUUUUGGAGUACAUUACCAAAUUUAAGAGGGGGAGCCUUUUUUAUUUUGUCCGUAUUUGAUCCGUCAAAAUUCUCUAUAUUAUGGGCGUGUUUGGUUCGCUUCUUUUUCAUUAUGGAAUCGAAAUCAGAAUAAGCGAAUUCAUUUGUUGGCGUCUAGGACGCGGGAGUCCCAUUACAAUUCCGAUUCCAGAGUGGAAUGAGAAUCUCUCAAUCAUCACUUUUUCCAAUCCGGCCUAGGAGGCCGGAUUAGAAGUUGAAUCCGAAUAGCACGUAUAUUUAUUCAGAUUAAAUAUAAUUUUUUAAUUUUUUUAAUUAAAAUAUGAGUUUAAAUUUAGAGAUUAAAUUUAUAAUUUUAAAUUUUAAUUAAAAAUUAAAAUUUAAUCAAGUAUUUCGAAUCUAACUUAUGAAUUUAAAUUUAAAUUAAAUUUUAAUUUAUAUAAAGUUUUAUUCAAAUUUUAUUUAAAACUUAAAUUAAAUUUAUGGAUUUAAAUUAAAAAUUUAAAUUGUAAUUUUAAGUUUGAAUUUGAAUAAAUCAAAAUUUAGUUUUAUAUUUUGAAUUAUCCACUCAACUUCAAAGUUUAAUUUUUUUUAAAAAAUAAAUUUAAAAUUUUGAUGUAAAAUUUUAAUAUUUAAUUUUUAAUUUGAAUAUAAAUUAACAUAUUAUAAAAAUAAAAUUAGUAUAUUAAUUUGAUUACGUUUUUUAUAUCUAUCUGAACCAAACACCGACAAUGAGAAUAAUUUAUUUUGAUUCCGAUUCAAGUGAUGAAUCAAAUAGAAUUAGGUAAUUAGUCAUUCCAAUUUCGAUUCCAGUUUAUUUUGAUUCCGAUUCUGAUUACGAUUCCAACUUCGAACCAAACAAGCCCACAAUGUGGACGUGUGAAUCAUUAAAAUAAUAUAACUUAAAAAAUAAGUUUUAUUAAAGAAUUAUUAUUUAGACCGGUGGUUAUUAUCCGUAGGGUUUUUAAAUGUCAGAUAUUUGAAUCCUGCAUGUGAAUAUUUAUUGUAUUUGAUCGUCCAAUAAAAAAGAGUAGCUUAUAAAGAAUUUAUCUGAACUACAGAUUAAUUUGUUUGAUUUGAAUUAUUCGAUAAGAUUUUGAUUUCAAAUUUUGAAUGUGUCGUUUAAAUAGGGUAUUUCGUUAAUAUAUAUGCUUCGUACAAUUUUCACAACUGUUAAUUUAUUAAUGUAUGCAGUUUGUUUAAAUUUUGAAAUCAAAAUAUCGUUGAUUGCCUCAAAUUAUUGAAAGGUUGGAUAGUAAAAUAAAAAUUUUGAAAGAUUGAAUAGUCAAUUCAAAUUGCCGAUAGUUCAGAUAAGUCCCCCAACAAAAAGAGGCUUUACAAAAACAAGGCAUAUUAUCAGGUUCAUUUUUGAAAGGUAAAAACGUAUAGAACUUAUCCAAACUAUAGACAAUUUUGAUUUAGUUAUCCCACCUUUUAAAAUUUUGAUUUUAUUAUUCAAUAUUUCAAUUUAUUUGAUUUGAACCAGUCAACGACGCUUUGAUUUCAAAACUUGAAUGUAUCAUUAAUCUUUACAGAUUUAAUUAGUAUAUUCUUAUAAUUGUUACAACUAUAAAUUUAUUAAAGUAAUAAUCAACUAUAAUUUUGAAGUCAAAGUGCCGUAAACUGACUCACAUCAAAAAAAU
rnacentral:lncRNA from 1 species